UUUUUUACAUCAAAACACUCCUCUUCCCUUCCUCUACUCGAAUCCGGACCCAUUAUUUCGAAAACAUGUGCCAAACAUCCUAGAUCUACAAAUGAAAGUGUGAAAGUUUUUACCUCUUUUUCCGGUGCGGUUCCGUUUCCUACUUGCUCCGGUUCGGUUCUUUCUUGCCUUGCUCCGGUUCGGUUCUGCUCUCUUUUCCGGUUCGCCUCUUCCUCUUUUUUCCGGUUCGGUUCUUCCUUGGUUUGGGAUGAUGAUGAUUUGUGGUUGUAUGGGCUGAUUUGAGGUUUUGUUUAAGUUUUGUGUUGCUGGAUUUUGAUGAAUCUAUGAAUGUUCUUCAUGAGUUCAUGUUAUUUCUUUGUAAUUUUAGUGUUUGAUCUGAAAACUGGUUGGAAAAAUGGAAAAAAUAGGGUUUGUGAAUUGAUGCUGAUUUUUUUUUGACGUGAACAGUGAUUUUUUUUUUGGCCCCAUUUCUCAAUGAUUGACAGUGUAUUUAUAGAGACAAACUAGGGUUGGCUCAGGCACAGAACUAAUACCAAAAUGCCCCUGCUGAAAACUUGGAGACAAAGUUUAAUCAAAUAAAAGAUAAUAAUAAUAAUAAUAAUAAUAAUAAAAUAAAAGAAAGGAGG
rnacentral:lncRNA from 1 species